rnacentral:rRNA from 1 species
UAUUAUACUAGUAAAUAUAAAUUACCUAGAAUAUUAAUAGAUAUAUUCUUUAAAUUUGAAGAAUUUGGCGGUGAUUUAAUCUUAUUAGAGGAACCUGUUUUUUAAUCGAUAAGCCACGUAGGAUCUUACUUGUUUUACUUGUAGUUUGUAUACCGUCAUUAUUAGAUGAUUUUUAGAGAAAUGUAAUUGUUAAUAUUUAUAUAUAGUAAAUUAAAUUAGAUCAAGGUGCAGCUUAUAAACAAGUUAGAAUGGGUUACAAUAAAACUUAUUUAUUACGAAAAAUAUAAGGAAAAGUAUAUUAUGAAGGAGGAUUUAAUUGUAAUAAAAGUUUAAUAAGCUUGAAAGGUAUAAGUUCUAAAUCAU